rnacentral:pre_miRNA from 1 species
UGGCUAAGGAUUUAGGGAAGGAGCUAAAUUAGGACUCUUCUCUUCAUCCAAAGCCUAGU